rnacentral:lncRNA from 1 species
GCGGCACAGUGGUGCCAGCACUUCCAUGCAAGGUCACACCUAUGACGGAAGGGAAGUGCUAUUUUAAAGGAAAAGAAUAUGCGCCUGGAGCGAUUGUGUAUGACAAGGAGGGAUGCAUUCGAUGGACUUGCGAAAAAGAAAACAGCACUUACGGUUUUCUUAGUGGGGUCUCGUGCGGUACAGUUUCGACAACACCUCCAUGCAAGGUCACACCUGGGACGAAAGGUAUAUACCCAAGCUGCUGCCCACGCGUAGUUUGUCCCUAGCUUAUAAUGCGCUUUGGAGUCCAAAUAAAGGAACUUUGGGUGCAA